UACGUAGGGAGCGAGCGUUAUCCGAAUUUAUUGGGUGUAAAGCGUGUGUAGGCGGUUUAAUAAGUCUAAGGUAUAAUGCUGAAGCUUAACUUCAGUUCGCCUUGGAAACUGUUUUACUUGAAUGCGGUAGAGGCAAGUGGAAUUUCUAGUGUAGCGGUAAAAUGCUUAGAUAUUAGAAGGAACACCAGUGGCGAAGGCGACUUGCUGGGCCGUGAUUGACGCUGAGACACGAAAGCGUGGGGAGCAAAUA
rnacentral:rRNA from 1 species